rnacentral:pre_miRNA from 1 species
AUGUUACUCCCUCCGUUUGAAAUUACUUGUCGCGAAAAUGGAUGUAUCUAGACGUAUUUUAAUUCUAGAUACAUCCAUUUCCGAGACAAGUAAUUCCGAACGAAGGGAGUAGGAC